rnacentral:rRNA from 1 species
CGUGCAGGUGGUCUUUUAAGUUUCGUGUGAAAUCCCUCGGCUUAACCGGGGAAUGGCGCGGAAAACUGAAGGACUUGAGUACGGGAGAAGAGGGCGGAAUUCCCAGUGUAGAGGUGAAAUUCGUAGAUAUUGGGAGGAACACCGGCGGCGAAAGCGGCUCUCUAGACCGAUACUGACACUCAUACGCGAGAGCGUGGGGAGCAAACA